rnacentral:rRNA from 1 species
AGGACGAACGCUGGCGGCGUGCUUCAUACAUGCAAGUCGAACGGGUAUCAGUCGGUGGCAACACCGACGAAGUACUAGUGGCGAACGGGUGAGUAUCACGUGAGGAACUUGCCCCGGACUCUGGGAUAACAGGUGGAAACACCUGCUAAUACCGGAUGCCAUCGGUGGAUCGCAUGGUCUACCGAUGAAAGAAUUUCGGUCCGGGAUGGCCUCGCGGCCUAUCAGCUAGUUGGCGGGGUAACGGCCUACCAAGGCAUCGACGGGUAGCUGGUCUGAGAGGAUGAUCAGCCACACUGGGACUGAGACACGGCCCAGACUCCUACGGGAGGCAGCAGUAGGGAAUCUUGCGCAAUGGGCGAAAGCCUGACGCAGCAACGCCGCGUGCGGGAAGAAGGCCUUCGGGUUGUAAACCGCUUUUGGCAGGAACGAAAAUGACGGUACCUGCAGAAUAAGGUGCGGCCAACUACGUGCCAGCAGCCGCGGUGACACGUAGGCACCAAGCGUUGUCCGGAUUUAUUGGGCGUAAAGAGCUCGUAGGCGGUUCAGUUAGUCGGGUGUGAAAACUCUGGGCUUAACCCGGAGACGCCACCCGAUACUGCUGAACUUGAGUACGGUAGGGGAGCGGGGAAUUCCUGGUGUAGCGGUGAAAUGCGCAGAUAUCAGGAGGAACACCGGUGGCGAAGGCGCCGCUCUGGGCCGAAACUGACGCUGAGGAGCGAAAGCGUGGGUAGCAAACAGGAUUAGAUACCCUGGUAGUCCACGCCGUAAACGUUGGGCACUAGGUGUGGGUUCCAACCAACGGAAUCCGUGCCGUCGCUAACGCAUUAAGUGCCCC